rnacentral:rRNA from 1 species
AUUGAACGCUGGCGGCAGGCCUAACACAUGCAAGUCGAGCGAGCGGCGGACGGGUGAGUAAUGUCUGGGAAACUGCCUGAUGGAGGGGGAUAACUACUGGAAACGGUAGCUAAUACCGCAUACCAUCAGAUGUGCCCAGAUGGGAUUAGCUAGUAGGUGGGGUAACGGCCCACCUAGGCGACGAUCCCUAGCUGGUCUGAGAGGGUGACCGGACACUCUGGAACAGAAACACGGUCCGGACGCCUGCGAGAGGCAGCAGUGGGGAAUAUUGCACAAUGUGCGCAAGCCUGAUGAAGGCAAGCAGCGUGUGUGAAGAAGGGAUUCGGAUGAUAAAACAGAUUCAGCGGGGAAGCGUUAUCCGGAGAAGAAGCACCGGCUAACUCCGUGCAAGCCGCCGCGGUAAUAC